UCAAAAUCGUUAAGCUGCAGCAAAUACCGUUCUCUCUAAAUAGGAAAGUGAGUCGUUUCUGAGAUCUGACCCAUAUUUUUACCUCUUCUCUGUCAAACGGGUCUCCUGAAAAUCUCCUCCCACUCUGUUUUUUCCCCAUUUAUAGUUUCCUCCAUUUUUGCCUCUCUUUCUUAUCCUCAAUUCUUUCCCAUUUCUCUCUCCUUUCUUUUGACAUUUUGCCCCUUUGCUCUCUGUUUUCUUGUUCGAUCCAUUCCCGAUCUCGAUCCUUCACGAGGAAUCGGGAUCUUGUAAGGGUGUUUGUGUGUUAACUUCUGGUG